rnacentral:misc_RNA from 1 species
AAGUCGUAACAAGGUAACCGUAGGUGAACCUGCGGUUGGAUCAUUAAUAAAUUCAACCCAAAAGACAUGUUUUUUCUUUUGAAAAAGCAUGUUUUUUACACACAAUGUGAACUGUUUAUUGUCUCUGGUGGUGUUAAAAGCUUUGUUUGCACUUUAAAACGUAAGAGCAAAGUGGGGGAAACCUCACCCACCUAUUUAAACUUUUAUUAUUAUUCAAUUUGGCCUUUAUAUCUAAUUAAAAAAAAGUUAAUUAAAAAACAACUUUUGGCAACGGAUCUCUAGGCUCUU